rnacentral:rRNA from 1 species
UACAGAGGUCUCAAGCGUUGUUCGGAUUCAUUGGGCGUAAAGAGCGUGUAGGCGGCCAGGUAGGUCUGCUGUGAAAACUCGAGGCUCAACCUCGAGACGUCGGCGGAAACCAUCUGGCUAGAGUCCGGAAGAGGAGAGUGGAAUUCCUGGUGUAGCGGUGAAAUGCGCAGAUAUCAGGAAGAACACCAAUGGCGAAAGCAGCUCUCUGGGACGGUACUGGACGCUGAGACG